rnacentral:rRNA from 1 species
AUGCAAGUCGAACGAGAGAUGAAGAGCUUGCUCUUCAAAUCGAGUGGCGAACGGGUGAGUAACGCGUGAGGAACCUGCCUCAAAGAGGGGGACAACAGUUGGAAACGACUGCUAAUACCGCAUAAGCCCACGGCUCGGCAUCGAGCAGAGGGAAAAGGAGCAAUCCGCUUUGAGAUGGCCUCGCGUCCGAUUAGCUAGUUGGUGAGGUAAUGGCCCACCAAGGCGACGAUCGGUAGCCGGACUGAGAGGUUGAACGGCCACAUUGGGACUGAGACACGGCCCAGACUCCUACGGGAGGCAGCAGUGGGGAAUAUUGCACAAUGGGGGAAACCCUGAUGCAGCGACGCCGCGUGGAGGAAGAAGGUCUUCGGAUUGUAAACUCCUGUUGUUGAGGAAGAUAAUGACGGUACUCGACAAGGAAGUGACGGCUAACUACGUGCCAGCAGCCGCGGUAAAACGUAGGUCACAAGCGUUGUCCGGAAUUACUGGGUGUAAAGGGAGCGCAGGCGGGAGAACAAGUUGGAAGUGAAAUCCAUGGGCUCAACCCAUGAACUGCUUUCAAAACUGUUUUUCUUGAGUAGUGCAGAGGUAGGCGGAAUUCCCGGUGUAGCGGUGGAAUGCGUAGAUAUCGGGAGGAACACCAGUGGCGAAGGCGGCCUACUGGGCACCAACUGACGCUGAGGCUCGAAAGUGUGGGUAGCAAACAGGAUUAGAUACCCUGGUAGUCCACACCGUAAACGAUGAUUACUAGGUGUUGGAGGAUUGACCCCUUCAGUGCCGCAGUUAACACAAUAAGUAAUCCACCUGGGGAGUACGACCGCAAGGUUGAAACUCAAAGGAAUUGACGGGGGCCCGCACAAGCAGUGGAGUAUGUGGUUUAAUUCGACGCAACGCGAAGAACCUUACCAAGUCUUGACAUCCCUUGACGAUGCUGAAA